rnacentral:rRNA from 1 species
UAUUGGGCAAUGGGCGCAAGCCUGACCCAGCAACGCCGCGUGAAGGAAGAAGGCUUUCGGGUNGUAAACUUCUUUUGUCAGGGACNNAANNNGNGACGGUACCUGACGAAUAAGCCACGGCUAACUACGUNNNANANGCCGCGGUAAUACGUAGGUGGCAAGCGUCAUCCGGAUUUAUUGGUUGUAAAGGGCGAGUAGGCGGGAAUGCAAGUCAGAUGUGAAAACUAUGGGCUCAACCCAUAGCCUGCAUUUGAAACUGUAUUUCUUGAGUGCUGGAGAGGCAAUCGGAAUUCCGUGUGUAGCGGUGAAAUGCGUAGAUAUACGGAGGAACACCAGUGGCGAAGGCGGAUUGCUGGACAGUAACUGACGCUGAGGCGCGAAAGCGUGGGGAGCAAACAGG